UAGGAUGGCCAGGAGAAAGCUCCCAUGGAGCUCUAGCCCUAAAUCCAACAAAUCUCUCAAACUGAAGCUCAAAUCAAACCCAAUCGUCUGCAUGUUUACAAAUUCGUGAUCACCUAGUCAUGGGGAUUCCAAGGCCAUUAGGUACACUGAUAUGGUACUUGCUGUCUGGGAAGCUGGAGUAGUCAUGGGUCGUGGCGAUUGGAUAGACAAUCGAAGUUGGAUUGUUUUCUAAACUUUAUACAUUAAACUUAUUGAACAAUAUUUAAUGCUUCCGCUGAAUACGUUGAUUUUCAAAACUGAUGUUUGAAUAUUACUAUUCUCAUUUAAUGGAAAUUUCUAUUUUUACUUA